AUUAAGUCCAAUAAGAUUUGUAUCAUCAAUGAGUCAGCACUCAGAUUUUUGUUUUAAGAAAAAGUCCAAUAAGAUUUGUAUCAUCAAUUACUCUAAUUAAAAGUAACGUGAAUUAAGAAAAGGAUUAGGUUACACUGAAAAUGAUUGGAACGUACUCUCCUCCCUCUCUUUCCAACUCGGUGCGGCGGCCGGAGAUCUUGUUUUCUUCGAUGCACAAAACAACGCCGCCGUACGCGGCCUUUCCUUCUGCCUCACUCUCGUCACGCAUCUCUCGCGUCACCGUCUCAAUCUUUCGACCUCUUCUUCUUCGAUGAUCUCACGGACUCAAGCACAAUAGCGCCGUUCUCUGAUACUCACGCUCUUCUCCGAUCGAUUCUUCUGCUUGCCGCUACUGAAUCUAUGGUUCAGAGAUGAUGAUGUUCAAUUCCAUAAAUCCAGAGAUGAGACUCCUUGCGAAAUAAACGCACAAGAAUGAUGCGAUUCCUCAGAUUCGUUGAUGUAGCGGAUUCGAUGAUGCAAAGCGAAGGCAAAGAUCGUGAUGAUGAUGGUUGCGUCGCAGAUUGAAGCUGACUGAUGAAGGUGUCGUGUAAAGUGAAUUCAGAGUGUUUUCCUGUUGAUUUUCUGAGAGAUGAUUGGAGUGAUGUUCUGAGUUUUUUCGUGAGUGAUUGAGAGGUUGAAGAAGCUCAAAGAUUGAGACAGAGAGAGUGAAUUCUCGGUUGGUUCUUGAAGAUUUUCGGUUAUGGCUGAAGGUUGGAUGAAGAUGAUGAUUGAAGUUUAUGGUUUGAAGAGGAAGGCAGUGAAGAUAGGGGAAGAAGAUUGAGGAUUGAAGAUGAUGAAGAUGGAGAGAGGAUUGAAGAGAGGCUGAAAGUUUGUUACGUUUCUCUUUUCUCUUUUUCCGGUUUUUGUGAUUUUUUGUUAUGACUCUCUGAUCCUUUUCUUUGUGAAUUCUGUUGCGUUUUUUCCUGUAAUUUUGUUAUGAACCGAUACCGUUUUCCUUUACAGUGAUGUUGGCUCUCUUUUGAUUGAACCCGGUUAUUUUCUUAUUAUGCUGCUGCUUUGUGGUUGUUUUAUUCGGUACGUCGAACCGGCUUUUGCUUCUUGUUUGCAGGGUUUAUUUUCUGGUUUGAAAUUGUAUGCAUAACCGUGAUUGUUAGACCCAUGGCAUGAAGCUUAAGGCACAUCAUGAAGAAUGGCACAGAAGGCCCAUUUGAAGAUUGAAGAAAACCCCAGAAUGUAUGAAGAGUCAGAGUUGAAGAGUAGCAUAGAAAAUAGAUUUUAGGGUCAUGUUUCAUAAAGGAUUUGUAAUGGAUAUUUUUGUAUGGAUUGCAAAUGAUGAACUUGAACAUGUAGAAAUUAGAUUUUUGUAUCUUUAAAUGGACAUAAAAGCACUUGAAUUUGAA